UCCCCAGGUUGGAGCGUUUGAUCAUUUUAGGAUGCCCUAAGAUGAAGACGUUUUCGUGUGGAGUUGUAGUGUUGCCCAGAUUGGGUAGAAUUUGGAUUGAUGUGAGAAAAUUUGGAGUGGCGGUGGCCGGUGGUGUGAAUGAAACUAUCCGGGACUUCUGGAGACAAAUGGUAUCGAAUGAUGACGAUGAUUCUGAAAUGAAUUAUGAAUAUGGAGAUACUUCAUUUAUUAAAGAUGAGGCCUAAAUGGAACGGUCGAGGUAAGGCGCACACGAGCUAUGGGGCUAUAUGGAUCAAACUAGAUCAUUGUCUUAUAUUUUUCCAACUUUAUGUAUUUAUGAACUGAAAGUUUUAUAUCCAUGUUUUGUUGUUUGUCUAUUGUGUAAAUUGUCUUUGUCUUGUUUUAAACGAUUAAAUGUAUUUGUUUGUCUUAAAUUAAUUGUUCAAUUUUAUAUUUA